UUCGCUGUGAUUGUGGCACUGCACUUCAGCCUUGGCUACAGAGUGAGACCCUGUCUCAAAAAUAUAAACAAAAUAACCCCCAACAGCAUUACAACAAAUAUACAAUAAGCAUCCACUUGGUAUGUGUGGGAGAUUGUGCAAAUGCUGGUGGCACAGGCGGGCGGAAGGCAGGCAUCUGGGGAGUGUGGGUGCACGGGAGGAUGGGGAGUAAUCUGGAGGGUCUCACAGUCUGUCAGUGGCAGGUCUUUCUUCCUGAGACCAUAGCAGACCCCCAACCCUGAGGAUGCGAGGCAGGUGGGUUGGAUGAAAGAGACCUGGAUGUCUGGUCUGGGGCUGCUCCUGUAAGUGCAGCAGCAAGGAGGGCGGGGAUGGACUGAAGGUGGUGCUGGGGAGCAGCCUGUUUGCUACACUUGAUCACCAGCUGCUGGGAAGUUGUGACUUUCACUUUCCCUUUGGAAUUCCUGGGUACAUCUUAGGGGUGGGAGGACGUGUGUGUUUAUUACACAGAUGCAUAACUGGAGGUGGGAUCCACACAGCUCAGAACAGCUGGAUCUUGCUCAGUCUCUGUCGGGGGAAGAUUCCUCGGAGGAGGCCCUGGAGCCCGUGACGUGGAGGGAGCCUCUUUGCUGAGAGUCUUUGUCCUCUGCAUCUGGUGCCUCACAGUCAAUCCCACAAUUUGUUUUCUCCUCCUCAAGGAUGCAGCAAAACCAUCCAGGCAGGACAAUGGCUGGGCAAUUCCAUGGUAAGCCUCUCAGUGACCUGGCUGCUGGUAAGCUUGCCUCCUCUUCCCUGGCUGUUUCGUACCCACAGCUACAAUGGAGGGUGGUGUCUCCAAGGCUGAGUGAGCCCCAACAGAGCCCAGAUGGAGGUGGCCGAUGAGUCUGCCCUGAGCCCCAAGAGAGGCCAUGUGGAGUCCCCCGAACCAGGGGUCUGGGGGGGCAUCUGCAUCCUGACCUCUCCUCAGGGGGGGCAUGGCCCAGGUGCCCACCUCCUCCCUACCCUGGCACCUAGCAAAUGACUCAAGUGGGGCAGGACGGCCUUGGGGAAGGGGAAACAGCAGGGUUGGGUUUUGCGGGGGGAGAGCAGGGGCCAGAAGUACGGGAGAGGUGGGAGAGGAGGUUGACCAGCAGCCCUGACCUCUUACCUCCUACUCUGCUCCUGGCUGACCCUGGGGUGUUUCCAGGAGAGGCUGGUCCCCUUUCUCCAGCUCUUGCCCCACACCAGUCCGUCUGCUUUGAGUGGCCCUGUGGGUAGAGUGAUCCAGCUUUCCAGUGAACUGGACCCCAUUGUGGUCUUGGCCAUGUGCCUUCUGUGUGACCUGGAGCUCCUUAGUCGUCCUCAACUGCACCACCAGGAUAUUUGCCCACGUUGUCAUGAGGAUCAAACAUUACAUGGGUACCUGGACCAGCCAGUGCCUGCCACAAACUACGGCCUCCCUAAGAGCUGGUUCCCAUCCCCUCCACCUGACCCCUGUUGAUUCUAAGGGGAAACCAUCCCCUUCCCCAGCUGUGUUAGGGGCACCUGCCCUGAGCUGCCCAUCACAAGCAUCUCUUUACCAGGGCUGAGUCCAAUCAUCUAACAUAUCCCUUGUCAAAGAAACAUCUGAGGCACAAUCACAUUUAUCUGAAUAAGAAGGAGUUCAUGAAUUGAGAAAACCAAACUGGAGGAGGUUUCGUGUUAUGAUGAAAAAGUGUGGGAGACAAGUGUUUAUUGGGUGAAUAUGGAAGUGCAAUAAGGACAUUAUUUGAUUAGUUCCAGUUAUAAAACUUCUUGUUUUGGUUUACCUUGUUGGAAAAUUCCUGGUCACGUUGAUGCCGGUGGGUUUAGGGAGGUCUCUGAAUGCAGGUGAGACCGGACCUUAGCCUUGUCCAGUUUCUGACACCGAAGAGAGAAAAAAUUUGAGUCAAAGCCAAAGCAAAUCAGCUUUUAUUGCAAAGCGGAAGCGCAGGCUCGGGGGUGGGAGUGCAGGCGGACUCAGAAGAGCCAGUCGGGCCCAGUGGGGUUUGGUGUUUUUGUUUUUGUGGGUUUACUAAGCUAAUGGGCAGAGUAAGCAUAAGGAUCUAUGGGAAGAGGCAGAGAUUUCUUGGAACUGGGGGGCCACGCAGUUUUGCAGCAAGAAUGGAACUGCUGUGGCGCGGGUGGGUAUGGGACAAGGAGGGUAUGAUUGAGUCUGGGGUGAAAAGUGGGUCAGACCCAGCACUGAGUUAGAUCUUACUGGUCUUAGCCGGAUUGGCCACUUCCUGUUCGUCAGGGUCCUGUGGGCCCGUCGCCUCCCCCUGUCCCUGCAGCUGGUUUCAGCAGCUCCUUCUGUGUCCGUCAUGUGAACCUGCUGCCUGGAGUUCUUGUUUCUUCUGUGACCUCCCAGUAUUCCCAUCUCAGCAUGGCCCUCUGUCAGCUGGCUGCUUGUGACUGGCCGAGGUUAAGUUUUGUUUGUGUCUAACAGAAGCGGCCAUCUGAUAUGACCCCAGUUCAGUUUCCCACAGCUUGCAGUUUAAGCGGGGAUUACAGCCGUUCUCAAGGUCUGGUUGGUUUUGUUUGCCCAGGAAUGUUUCAGGCUUGGUUUUUAUUUUAAUUUUGCUUUAAUAUUCACCAUCCCCACCCCAUCAAUAAAACACAAAUUUAGUGCUGGAGGUUCCUUCCAUCCAACCCUGGGUUUCCUUCCUCCUUUUGGUGAAGAAGGAAAGAGAAAAAACAAGACAAGCCCUCGCCCAGCCGAGUCAGCACUGCGUUCAUUUCCCUAAGCCCCAUUUCCUCAGGACGGCUUCCUCCCCUUACAGAGUUGCAGUGGCAACCAAGUCAGCUCUGCUCAGGAGCUGCCCUGGACAGCAAACUGGCCUGUGCUGAGUCCUGUCCAAGACCAGGGGAGGGUGGAGAAGAUUAGAAGCCCGGAGCUCCCAGCCGACCCUGGAAUCCUUAGGAAGGGCUAGGCUGGGGGCCAAGGAAGAAACUCCCCCUCCGAAACAAGAUGAUCUCUUGUUUAAUAACGGGGCCAGCUGGGCUCAGAGGUGAUAAUGGGGAGCCGUGUACCCUGAGACCAGCCUGCAGGGGACAGAGGCAACACAGAGGGGCCACAAGGAUCAGUGCUGAGGGUCCCGCCCCCCUGCCCACCUAAAGAACCCCCUCCACUGCCCGCCUGAGAGCCCCCAUGACCCGCAAGAGGAAUAAAAUGUUUAAAAUAAAAUGUUUAAAUAAAUAAAAUGUUUAAAUUCUGUGCAAAUAAAAUGUUUAAAGCCCCACAGGUAUACUACAGGGGAGAAUGCAAAUAAAAUGUUUAAAACUCCACAGGUAUAUUACAGGGGAGAAUGCAAAUAAAAUGUUUAAAACUCCACAGGUAUACUACAGGGGAGAAUGCAGAAACCACAGGCAUUUAAAAAAUAUAUGGCGUCUUCAAAGCAAUGGCAAGGGAACGCUGGCCUGGGAGUCAAAUCCUGAGCUUCCUGCUUGCUGGGUUGGGAGGUGUCUCUCACUGUCUGGGUCUCAAUUUCUCCUUCUGUGAAAUGAGAACGAGGCCUUGCAAGUGCCUCCAGGGCAGGAAACAAUUUUACAUCAUGCCCCAGUGCAUACAUAAAUACAUACUGCUUCCCAGUCCCUUCUCUGCAGUUCCGUUAUUCCUAAAUCCCUGCAAACCACACAUUUUUUGGGCAACUCAUCUGGGCAGUAAUCCUGCUGUGUACUAAGAUGCUUUGUAGCAGUAAUAUUAUGUAUCUCAUUUAAGGUGAAUAUUCAUUGGUUUCUCUGUUGAAACACUCGUACCUUUGAUUACAAGGUUAAAACAUUUGUACCGUUGACCACUCUGCGAGUGGUCAGUGAUACAGCAUAUGCACCCUGUGUCACUUCUAAAAGAUUGAAAAUGCUGCCGUGCUAAACACAUCCAGAUCCCAGAAAUACACACACACACACACACACACACACACACAUAUAAUAUCUUACAAAAGAAUACUCACUCUUGCUAUGUUCAAUACACUCUGAUAUUUUCAAUGCUCUUUCUUUUUAAAAUGCUGCUUUUGACACAUGAACUAUUGUAAUAACCCACUGACGGGUCGAAACUCAGAUUUUGAAGACACUGGUUUAAAGUGUUUGACAAUAGGUACACAGCAGAAGGAAGCCAUCUUGGAAGAUUUCCCUUACAUGGGGAGGAAACGUGGUGGAAAGCUCUUACUUUCUGGUGAUUCUCAGCUGAAAUAGAUGGGUUGCUCCACAAAGCACCGUGCCACUUUCCUGCUGAAUCACUCUUCUCAGGAUGCCUCAGUAAAAUGCCACAGGCUGGGUGGCUUCAACAACUGACUUAUUUUCUCACAGUUCUGGAGGCAAGAAGUCCAAGGUGAAGGUGCCAGCAGGGUUGAUGUCUGGGGAGGGCUCUGCUCCUGGCUUGCAGAGGCUGCCUCAGUGCUGUGUCCUCACAUGGCCUUCCCAGUGUGUGUGUGUGUGUGUGUGUGUGUGUGAGAGAGAGAGAGAGAGAGAGAGAGAGAGAGAGAGAGAGAGAGAUCCUCUGUCUCUUUUUUUCUUUUAAUUGGACACCAGUCCUAUAGGAUUAGGGCCCUAUCCUUAUGACUGCCUUUAAAUUAAUGACUUCCUUAAAGGCUCGAUCUCCAAAUAUAGUCACUGAAGUUUAGGGCCUCAGUAUAUGAAUUUGGGGGGCACACAAUUCACUCUAUAGCACUGGUGCCUCCAUCAAAACUACCCCAUGUGACAGCUGGUCAGGAGGAUUAACAUCGAACCACCUUAUAUUCAGGGCCAUUUAUGUGGUAGAACACUUUCCUCCUGUCUUAUCCUUUUUGUUUCCAACUAGAAAAGAAAUGCUUCACUGAAAAAGUCACCGAAUACUUCCAGAAGAAUGUUAGCCCAGGGCAUCUGAAAAUCCUGCUGACUGACGAUGAAGCCUGGAAGAGAUUGGUAGCUGUGGCUGAAUUGCCCAGGGAAAGAACACAGAUGAAAAUCAGCCUAAGGAAGAGACACACAGGGCAGAGUCUGGGAGGACUUCAGGUGUGAAGCUUCAUUGUCCUCAGGACGCUGUGAUCUCCUGUGUCAAUGUGGGACAAGACACAUGGGGUGCUGCCAACCAGGGAAGUUCACCCAGUUAAGGAAAAAUUCCUGUGAACCACAUGAAAUCAGGAAGGAAGCCUUUAUUCAGGAUGGUUGUUACAGGGGAGGGAGACCGAGCCCAGCUCUGAAUACAGUAAAGACGGGGGUGAGGGGGGCGGGGGGGAGUCACAGCCAACACCAGGGUGAGGGGCGGCAGAUGGAACAGGACUGACAAGAGACACCGGAGUGGGGGGUUUCUGCUACACUGGACUAACAGGAUGCUCACCUAAGGGCAGCUCAGACACUCACCCAUCAAAUGAAUGGGUGAAGACUGUAAUCGGAGAGCAAGUGUCCUCAGACAGCAAGCCGGGGGGAUCCUCUGUAAAUUGACUUUGGGGAAUUCUUGCUGAGCUGGGGUGGUGCAGGCCCAGCAAGCACAGGAUGGGUGCGGAAAGCCAAGGUCAACGCCUAGAGGAGAAGAGGCUCAGAACAGCCUGGCUGGAGUUUGGCCAAGGAGGACGAGGCAGAUGCUCUCUAUGAAGCUCUGAAGAAUCUUACACCAUAUGAGGACAAAGACGUGCAGCAAAAAGACCAGCAGCUUAGGG